rnacentral:rRNA from 1 species
GACGAACGCUGGCGGCGUGCUUAACACAUGCAAGUCGAACGGAAAGGCCCUGCUUUUGUGGGGUGCUCGAGUGGCGAACGGGUGAGUAACACGUGAGUAACCUGCCCUUGACUUUGGGAUAACUUCAGGAAACUGGGGCUAAUACCGGAUAGGAGCUCCUGCUGCAUGGUGGGGGUUGGAAAGUUUCGGCGGUUGGGGAUGGACUCGCGGCUUAUCAGCUUGUUGGUGGGGUAGUGGCUUACCAAGGCUUUGACGGGUAGCCGGCCUGAGAGGGUGACCGGCCACAUUGGGACUGAGAUACGGCCCAGACGCCUACGGGAGGCAGCAGUGGGGAAUAUUGCACAAGGGGCGGAAGCCUGAUGCAGCAACGCCGCGUGCGGGAGGACGGCCUUCGGGUUGUAAACCGCUUUCGCCUGUGACGAAGCGUGAGUGACGGUAAUGGGGAAAGAAGCACCGGCUAACUACGU